GUUUUGAAAGCUACUCAGCACUGAACUUUUAAUUCAGAGAAGGGAAAUCCCCUCAAAAUU
rnacentral:tRNA from 1 species